CAAGACUAAGUGCAAGAAUGUAAUCACUCGGUGUCCUCGUCAUCAUCAUCAUCUCCUGCACCAGCUCCAGAUCCUCCAGCAUCCGAAGCUCCAGUGGAUGGCGGAAUAAGAGGAUGUCGUGAAGUAGUCCUAGUAUAGACAGGCUGAGGAGGAAAAAUAUCGUCAUGUCUACAUCCCAACUUGUCCAUCAUCCUCUUCAUGCCUAACUCCACUUUUCUGGCAAGAUUAGCUACUUUCUUCUUCAACGACCGCACUUCUUGGCGAAGAGAUUCUCCCCCUGAACUGGAAGACCCCUCACGCUCUGCUCGAGGUGGAGGUGCCUGGCGUGAAGUUGGUUGCGACGGUCCCUUUGUCUGCUGAAAAGUUUUUAGUGUACUAACUGACUUGGCCCAAGUAACAGCAUCAAUAGGACCAAGGCCAAAAUCAUACUUGUCGCAAGAAACAUCUAUUCCAUUUUCCUGUAAAAUCCUCGUGAUCAAAAGAGGAAAUGGAAGGAGAUCCCGUCUAGCAGACGCCUGAAUCACAUGAACCAUCCGCUGCCACAUCAGAAAAGGAAUGUUGAUGUUCAAUCCAUGAGCUUGCCCCGGGUGACCAAGUAAAAACAGUAGAAGCAAUCGAUCCCAACGAAUCCUUUUGGUACCAAUCGUAGGUUGAACAUUGUAGCUCAAAACCAAGGAAAGUAGAUGAUACUCCGGUCGCAAAUCCUUGGACUCUACAUAGGCACGAUUCGUUUGCACUCCAGCUCUGCAAAUAGCUCCGACAACAGUAUCCCAAUGAGACAAGGAGUGAAAUCCUCCUGAUGUAUAAAGAAGACCCGUAGUGUCUACAUUCAUCCCCAAAAGCUCUCCAAUAGUAUAUGGGGUAACGGCGAUCUUCUGUUGACGCACGAAUGUCUCAAAUAGGAAUGUCCCGGUCUCUUCAUCUUCUGCUAGGACUCGCCCAUUCAUAUAGAACUCUCGAAUGAGUUCCACACAAAAAGGAGCACGAGCAGGGACUCUGCCAACCGGCUCAAUGGGAACCCGCUGAAGUAACCGGCCAAAGUCAGGAACGUCAUGAAUAAGAUCGGUGAAGUUGACAUAACGCUCCGCAAUGCAAGACUUGCUCAUGUACAUCCUCCGUCGCUCUGGAGGAAUAUCUGCAGCGUGCUUCGACCGAGUUUCUCUUGUACGAGAACCACCGCCACGUGAGGACUCGCCAGCUAUUCCUUUGCCCUUGUCAAGCUGAGCAAUAGGUUCUUCUGCCUCCUCAGGGGAGCUUUCUUGAUAAUCCGGAUCCGAGCCGGACGCUUCUCCCGAUGUUCGUGUUCUCUUAGAGGACCCACGUCGACCUCUACCACUACCUCGUCCACGUCUCGUAGCCAUCAGCACCAAAAUCAGCAAAAUGAAUGAAAAGGAUAUAAAUUUUCUACACCUUUCUCAAUGUAGGAUUUUCCUCACACUUUUGAUGGUGGUGUACAUCCUUUCUCGAUGGUGGGGCCAGCAGGCCGUUCACACACUUCGAUGGUGUACCAUAAAUUAACUUUUUCGGCCUUUUCCAACUUUUUUUUAUAUAAUCUUUAAAGCCUCAAUAUUCCACCAUUCAAUUUUUCUACGAGUUUCUCGGUGGGGGCCAUAAUAUAACCAAUUUAGAGAUAUAACUUGUACAAUGUUGCUUAACCACAGUUAAAAUAACUUAAAGAUAUUUAAUAAAAAGUAGUGAAUGUAGAACUACCAAAACCUAAUAAUUUAGUACAAACUAUUACUUUAAAACUACAAAACUACUUAAAACUUUAAAAUAUUAUAUAAUAAAAGUAAUAUUACUAAAAACCUCAAUUUAGAAAUUAAAUAUACUUUAAUUAAAUUAAACGACCUAAAAAUUUCAGAUUAAAAGUUUUAGACUCUAGCACAUGGCCAUGUGCUAUGGCAUGGCCAUGCCCAUGACAUCGGCGCCUAUAUAUAGGCCAAUGUCUCGAAAACAAGAAAGAGUUUAGACUUAGUUUGAAGCAAAAGAGAGAGAGAUUUUUAGGGACCACGGAAGGAGAACGUCUAGAUGUCCAAAAGGGAGUUUUUAAACACUCAUAAAUCGAGCCUAAAUUGGCAAAGUAGCGCAAGUACAAAUAAAAAGCUUUUUAAAGCUCAAGUACGAAUCUAGAGACAAAAACUAGCAAAAACUACGUUAAAAAACGACAUCUAGUCACGAAUUCCUGUAAUAGAACGAAGAUCUUAUGAACUUAGUGUAGUUUAGUGUAAUAAAAAGCGACUAGGUACAAGAUUCGAAGUAAAAAGUACAUUAAAGCCCUAAAAAACAUUUUACAGUAAAAAAUUACUUUUAAAAACGUACUAGACCAAUCUUUUUCCUAAACAUACGUAAGAUUACAAUAAUCUUUAAAAAAGCGAUAAAAAUGUCUAAAAAGUUUUAAAAACAAGUACGUGCCGAUUAAAAACAUAUCCUUUUAACCGCANAUAUCCAACACUCACAACCAAGAUGAUUUAAUCAUCAAAAAAUCAAAUUUGAUUUCAAAAUUUUGAUGAAUUUAUGCAAUAAGAAAUCAUAUAAUAAAUUAUCAUCAAAAUAACAAAUAGUGGAAUAAAGACGAUAAUUAAUAUGAAUUUAACUUAAUAUGAUUGUGAAGAUAAAACCCGUUUAAACAAUUUUAAAAAAACUUUCUCUCCAAAAAAAAACGAUUCUCAAUCAUCUCCUUUCUCAAAGAUUUUGAAACUCCCAAACAUCUCUUCCUCAAAAUGAUUUUUUAAAUAAACAAAAAUUCAAUGCACCAAAAAUCAUUCAACCAUGUAAUGCAAUGAAUAAAAUAUGUAAUAAGCACCUAUCAAAGCAUUACAUUAACGAUCAAAAAAUGACUAAGAGAAGGAGCGAGGAAAGAUAUCACCUUUCCGGAUCCAAACUUGUCGGAUCUUUGGUUUUCUCGGUUUGUCGACGUUUGAUGCCGUUUUCUUAGAUUUUUGAUCAAUCGUUGGUGUUUUCUUCGCUUGAGGCUUAGGUAGAACUUGGCGUUUAGGCUUAGGAAUCCGAUUCUCUUGAGGUCCUCGACUAAUUGGAUUUUCCUUUUGAUUCCUCGGGGGAAGUCGAGUUGUAGACGAUGUCAAUUGAGGUUUUGAGAGUGUCGAUCGAUGUGUAGACAUUGCCAAUUGUUUCUUCUUAUCUUUCACGGGGCAAUUCCUUUUGAUGUGACCGUUAACUCCACAUCGAUGACACACUUUGCCUUUUAAAGUUGUUGAGACUUUAGAUGUUGCCGUUUGAUCCUCAACAUAUGUCCGUUCAUAUCCAAGGCCUAGCUUGUUCGUUUGACCCAAUCCGAGCAUAUGGUCCAAUUUCUCUGAUCCGGAAGAAAAACGUUGAAUGUCGGAUUGAAGUUGACGAACUUGAUCGGUCAAAGACUUGUUGGAUGUGUUUGAUUCCUCGAAUUGUUGCUCCAAAAAUCCAACCUUGUCUUUAUAUGAUUUGAUCGUUGAUUCCGCUUCAUUAAGCUUCCCAAGGAGGUCCGAAUUCGUUUUCAAAAUUGAUUCCCUUUCCUCCUCGAGAGCUUUGUUCGUGGCUUUCAAGUUGUUGUUAUCCUCUUCAAGAUUCAACAUACGACGCCUCAACUUCUUAUUUAAUUUAGCCAUCUUCUUUGAUUCAAUAAGAAGUAGGUUGUAAGCUUCCGCUAUAUCUUCGUCGUUCGAAUCCUCCCCGCUUUCGCCGUUGUCGCUCGAUGAAUCAUGCGAGGAAAGAGAUACAUUAGAAUUAGUAGCGAUAGAGGAUAAACACACAACAUUCGACGAAGGUGUAUUAGCAAAUAAGGCGAUUUGAUCAUUCUUCUCUUCGUCACUUGACGAUGAUUCACUUGAUGUCGAAUCAUCCCACGUCUUUGCUUGCAUAGCUUUUUGUUUAUACGUCUUCUUUGAAGGACAAUCCGUCGCAAUGUGACCGUAGCCUUUGCACUUGAAGCAUUGGAUCUCUCCUUCAAAGACAUCCUUUUCCUUUGAAGACUUUGCAUGGCUUUUAUCCUUAGACUUUGAAGAUGAAGAUGAUUUAGGCAAAGAUUGUCGCUUAGAUGUUGAAGCCUUGUUCAAUCUAUUCUUGUUCCGAAAAUUUCGACGAAACUUCUUCGUGAGGAGCGCUAGUUGAUGUUCAAAAUCCGCAAUUGAUAACUCGUCGUCGGAACUCGAGUCUUCGUCCUUCUCCUUUGUAGAUUUCAAUGCAACCCCUGUGCUUUUAGAGAGAGACUUGGAAGAAGAUUGAUUAGUAGGAAAAGUCAUCUUAUACGUUUGCAAAGCUCCUACUAAUUCUUCUACUUUCAUCUCAUCCGGAUGUUUGACCGUUUCGAUUGCGGCGACCUUUGCCCGAAAACGUUCCGGAAGAGUUCGAAGAAUUUUUCUAACUAUUUUAGCAUCCGGGAUUUUCUCUCCCAAGUUAGCGCAUGUAUUGACCACGUCUUGUAGACGCGUAUAGUACUCGGUAAAGGUCUCGUUUUCGUCCAUAAAAAUUGAAUCAAACUUGCUAGUUAGCAUUUGCAAUUUUUGGACCUUUACUAAGCUUGUUCCUUCAUGCGUAACUUGUAGAGUAUCCCAAAUUUCCUUUGCCGUUUCGCAAGCCGAAACACGAGUAAACUCCGUUUGAGACAAUGCAUUAAAUAAAGCGUUUAUGCCCUUGCCGUUAAACGAAGAUGUCUCGUUUUCUUCUCUCCCCUUUGCGGAAUUUCGUGACAAACUCACACAAACUCAAAAAUUACAAUAAAUAAAACGAAGUCAAUUGGCUAUCACCAAAACAUUGAACUUCUCGCGGUAAUCAAAUACAAUCUGAAACUCAAAUUACAUUCAAAACUCCCUAAAACAAACUCUAUGACUUCAGACAACAACUUAGGAGUCUUGAAGUCUUGAAAUCCUGCAAAACAAAUCAUCAAAAUGAUUAGGCUUAAAUUUUAACCUUCUUCCCUUUUUCCUUUUGUUCUUGAAUCACCAUCCUGCGUGCUUUAAGUUUAAUGCCUGAAACAUCCAUGCUCUUCCUCCUUAAUCUAUGCUCUCCUCCCUUUUUUGUCAAAAUGCCAAAAAAGCAAGUAAUAAAGAGAAAAACAUACUUGAAAGGCAAAAGAGUAGUCCUAGUCAUAGUUACAGGCUAAAACAAAAGUAAAAACAAUGCAAAGGAAAAGAUAAUCAAGCAUAACUAAAACAUCAGUCCUACAAAAGCAAAACAUGAGAGAAUAGCAGCAAGACUAAAGUGCAAGAUUGUAAUCACAGUGCGGUGUCUCCGUCAUCAUCAAAUACUUCUCUCACAGACUCCGACUCGUCCAGCUGCGAAGCUCGAGUGGAUGCGACAUAAGUAGGAUGUCGUGAAGUAGUCCCUAGUAUAACGGCUGGGGCAAAAAUAUCGUAAAGUCUAAAUCCACUUGUCGCAUCAUCUCCUUCAUGGCCAAACUCCACUUUCUGCAAGAUUAGCUAUUUCUUCUUCAACGACGCACUUCUUGGCGAAGAGGAUUGUCGCCCAGAAUGGAAGACCCCUCCACGGCUCUGCUCGAGGUGGAGGUGCCUGGCGUG
rnacentral:lncRNA from 1 species